UACGGGGGGGGCAAGCGUUGUUCGGAAUUACUGGGCGUAAAGGGCGCGUAGGCGGCAAAUUAAGUCAGCUGUGAAAUCUCCGAGCUUAACUCGGAACUGUCAGCUGAUACUGAUGUGCUAGAGUGCGGAAGGGGCAAUCGGAAUUCUUGGUGUAGCGGUGAAAUGCGUAGAUAUCAAGAGGAACACCUGAGGUGAAGACGGGUUGCUGGGCCGACACUGACGCUGAGUGCGCGAAAGCCAGGGGAGCAAACGGG
rnacentral:rRNA from 1 species